rnacentral:rRNA from 1 species
AUUGAACGCUGGCGGCAGGCCUAACACAUGCAAGUCGAACGAGUGGCGGACGGGUGAGUAAUGUCUGGGAAACUGCCUGAUGGAGGGGGAUAACUACUGGAAACGGUAGCUAAUACCGCAUACCAUCAGAUGUGCCCAGAUUGGAUUAGCUAGUUGGUGGGGUAACGGCUCACCAAGGCGACGAUCCCUAGCUGGUCUGAGAGAAUGACCGGCCAAACUGGGCGUGAGACACGGCCCAGAUUCAUACGGGCGGAAGCAGGGGGGAAUAUUGAACAAUGGGCGCAAGCCUGAUGCAGCCAUGCCGCGUGUAUGAAGAAGGCCUUCGGGUUGUAAAGUACUUUCAGAGGGGAGGCGUUACCCGCAGAAGAAGCACCGGCUAACUCCGUGACAGCAGCCGCGGUAAUAA